rnacentral:lncRNA from 1 species
CACCAUCCAACCGCUCCUUCUGCCUGCUAGGCCUACAAAUACUUGGACCAAGAGCAGCCAGAAGACCCAAAAUAAGCAGCAUACAUCCCGGCCAGAGGCAAUGAGCUCCCAGUUUUAAGCAAGGACGUGUGUGAUGCAGGAGCUCUCAAUGUGAUGGAGACCAGAGGCAAAGAAGUGCCCAGUGCUUCUUGUUGUUCUUGUUCGUCGUCGUUUUUUUAACCUACGAAGACCUGAAGGUCUCAAACCUUUCUCAAGACUUCUGUUUUGGUGCAGAGCCUGCCUAUUGCUGGGGAACCAACUGAAUUAGUGUGGCUGCUAUGUGAUGGGAGUCCAUGUAUAUAACAGUGAAAUUUGGUAGGCAGCAGCACAGCAUGUCCUGGGGAGCAGGGAGUCACCACCCAUGGGCACAAGGACUGGGCUGAAGGAGGUAUGGAGGGAGAAGCAGAGCCCUCCUGCAGGCACCCACUCUGGGUAGGCAGCAGAACACUGCAGCUGCCGUUGUUCUUUCCAUGGGCUUUGCUCUUCGGUUCACCCCCUGAUGAACCGAUAAGUGCAACAACAGUUAGUUUCUUUCAAAAGACCUCCAACGACUCGCUUAGGAAACUGCAGAUGUUAAAUUCAGUUUAGAACUGCAACCAACUUCCUCCAGGCAGAGUGAGUGGGAGAUAAAUUACAGCAACUGAAUGCACAGAGGUAUUUCUGGAGGCACUAGCUGCCAAAAUUAGGAUUAUAGUCAUAGAAUAGCACCAUUUGGGACUGUCAGGAUAACUGAGCCCAGCUCCUGGCUCCACACAGCACUGCCCACAACUAAGCCAUACGUCCCUUGCCCAAACACUUCUCCAAUUCCAGCAGCUUUGGUGCUGUGAUGGCUCCCCUGGGAGCCUCUUCAUCAGCGGCCUUUGCAGAGCCCCACAUAACACUGCAGAGCUCAGUUUCAAGUGUCUGCAGUUCCACAGAGGGUUCUAUGAGGCACCAACUGCUCACUGAGUCUGAAGCCAAGAUCCUGUGGUUUAACCUCAGCGCUUUUGGGGUUUCUUUUCUUGUCGCUUCUACCCAAAGUAUACUGAGGGAUGCAAAUAGGUGUUCCAGUUGGUGAGAGGGGAAAUGUUUUCCUUCUCCUUUGUUGGGUCAGUUGCCAUAGGCGGCGGUUUUGUCUGGAUCCAGGCGUCCUCUAGGGAAAGCAAAAAGAAAAACUGCAACUCCUAGCAAGACAGGAGGAAAAACCAGUUUGUCUGCAGUAUCUCCAGCCCUCUCACACCUGACCAGAGAGACCACAUUCUGAGGCACUACAGAACUCAACAG